GACGAAGGGGGCUAGCGUUGUUCGGAAUUACUGGGCGUAAAGCGUCUGUAGGUGGCUUUUUAAGUCCGCCGUCAAAUCCCAGGGCUCAACUCUGGACAGGCGGUGGAAACUACCAAGCUGGAGUACGGUAGGGGCAGAGGGAAUUUCCGGUGGAGCGGUGAAAUGCGUAGAGAUCGGAAAGAACACCAACGGCGGAAAGCACUCUGCUGGGCCGACACUGACACUGAGAGACGAAAGCGUGGGUAGCGAACAGG
rnacentral:rRNA from 1 species